GAGAAUUAACUGAAGAGAAAAUAACUUUGCACCAGUCUUCUGCAGGCCAAUCCUUGUAUGUCCUGGAGUAUUUUAGUAUUUCCUUGGCUUCUUUGGUGGCCUUCUUGACACCUGGCUGCUGUCAACACCAGGUUCUCAUACCAUCCUGCUGCCAUUCCUGAGAAAAGAUCUGCCUCUCUGGAGACACCAUUCCGUAGCUGACCCCUCAGGAGGAGACAGUCCUGGCAUUUGCUGGACACUCUGGGACAUCCUGAAGACUUCUUCACUGCAGUUGAACCUCUCUCCUUGAAGUUCUUGAUUCGGAGGCUUUAAGACCAAGCGGAGUCCUCUGUUCCUGCCUCACAGCGCGCGGGUCUCCAAGGCUUCACUGCAGCAGGGGUUCAGAUAAAAAAUCAGCAGCUGGCAGCAGGAAGUGGCUGCCAUUGACAGCUGGAAGGCAGUAACUGGCAGCCGGGUGGUAAGCGGGACCUGCCAUUCGGUGGGAGCCAAUCAGUAUCGACCAACGUGGGCGCAACCAAUCAGAUAUAACUGCACCCAAACGCUUCAGUAAAGGUUGCGAUUGAUCAAACGUUGCCAGAUGCUGUCCUGUUGGAAAUUCUUCUUUACGUGAUCCUGGAGGAGGGUGAUGCUACAUUACUAAGUCCGUCUUUGGUUUGUUCCAAAUUCAGAAGUCUGCUGUACUGUAUACAGACUCCUUUCGAAAGGGGGCACAAUCCAGCUUGCUUGACUGAGUAUCUUUUACAGAUUUGAUUAGAGGUUUAAAAAGGUGGAACAAAAUGGAGAACAAGUCUAAGCCAUGUCAGGAAUUCAACAAAAUGUACACCCUGCAGACACUGCGACGAGGUUUACAUCAACUGCUUACCAGGUCACUGCAGUCGCCCGGAUCCAGUACGUAUCCAGACCAGAUGGUGGAUCAGCACCUAGAAAGGACCUCUACAUCCCUGAAA